GUAACCUGAGGGAUUGUAGAUGAUUUCAUAGAAGGAAAGGGAAGGAGUGUCUACCCUGCAGGGCAGCAAUUUGGAUCAACACUGUCACACCCAGGUUAUGAGAGAAUCAGUGUCACCCUGAGGAGCUCUGUGAACCUGCCUUCCAUUUCCCCAUCGCUCCGACUUGGAUGACAACAGCAUGCACCUCAUUAAGGGUUCAUCCUGUAAUUAUUCAAUAGACAUUUACUGAGCAUCAACCACACGCCUGGCAUUUCCUUUGACACCUGGAUACUAAGUGCAUACCUUUGCAGAGCUGAUGUUCUCAUAGCAGAAAGAGGCAAGAAGCAAAUGAGCUAAUCGUGUCACGUCAGAUGGUGACUCCUUUUUUAGUAAAAAAAUGAAAAGAUAACGGGAAGAGAAGUAUGGGGUCCUCUUUGGGUACAUUUUAGAUACGUCCUCUUGCGGAUUUGCUCUCUAAAGAGCUGAUGUUUGAAUCCAGCCAUUGAUGAGAAGACAGACUCAGCCAUGGGAAGAUCCAGGUCAAGAGAAGAACCCCCAGAUGCAACUUCCAGGUCGCCAUUAUGAAGCAAAACAGAAGACCACCAUGUUGGGAGGCCAAGGAGGGUAAAGAGAGAGAAGGUAGACGACAAUGAUGGAAAGGUAGGGGACGGCAAAACCAUGCCCGUCCAGGCCCUGUAAGGAAUCUGGACCUCAGACUAAGUGCUGGGGGACAAUGCUAACAUGCCUCAGCCAGGGGACGAGGUGACCUGAUUAGUGGCAGUGGAGAUGUUGCCUCCCCGCUCCCUCUGUGGUUCAGCUUUUCAACCUGCAUGUUGUAUGGCACAGAAAUCUAGAAACUGAUCAUGAUCCAAGUUACUGGGAAAGCGUGUGCAAGUUACCAAUCAGAUGAAGCAUGGGAUGCUCCUCGGUUGCAGUAACAGGUACGUGUUUAGCUUCUGCCCAUAAAAGCUCUCCUAGUGCAAUGGCUUAAGAGUGGUGGUGGUUUAUUUCUCAAGAAGGUUCAGAACUAAAAUGGUAUCUCAACAGGGACAUGAACUUUCUCUUCUCUGUUUUUCUAUGCAGCUUUGCUCUCUGUGGCUGAGACGCCUGUCAUCCUAGGUCCUCCUGAGACAUUUGCAGCUCAGCCAUAAAAGGGGAAGAACCCACUCCUUCCUUUCCAGGUUGCUGCCUGCAGGUUGUGAUCCCAUGAUUUCCCACUACCCAGAGGCACGUCACCUGGCCACAGCCAGCUGCACUUGGAAGCGGAGCCAAGAUAAAGCUUUUCUUAUUAUAAAAGGCUAGUGGAGGUCACAUGUGCUGGCCAUCAGCAGAUGGUCUCAGCAAGUUAGGAGGCUGAGGCGGGAGGAUCUCAAGUUCAAGGGCAGCCUAGGCAAUUUAGGAAGAGCCAGUCUCAAAAUAAAAAAGAGCUGGGGAUGUAUUUCAGUGGUAGAGUGUCCUGGGGUUCAAUUCCCAGUAACAUACACACACACACACAGGGUAUUAGAAGGAUAAUAUAGUGAUCUUGCUUUCUGCCGUAGCUUCCAAUCCAAUAAAAAGGUGACUGGAAGUGCCUUCAGCCCACAGAGAAUCAGCUCUGUUAAAUGUUCUGUUCUAGAAGGACUGAUUCAUAGUAAUUCAUAAUAAUGAAUCAAUUAAUUACGAAAAAUAAUUAAGUGAUGAACUGAAACAAUGCUGUAUACUGAUGAUUCCUCCCUAUACAAUCCUCAGCUCUGUGACAAAUGCACAUAGCAGCUUAUUUUCUUAUAUUAAAAAAGCUACACAAAUAAGUCAUUUUUCACAGGCUUCUCUUAGGUCUUGCUCUUUGAGCUGUUUAGAAAGGGAGAUAGAUUUGUAUGGUUUUAUUGAUAUUUCCUCAUCUGGCCUUCUUUCUUUCAUGAUUUGUGGCAUGAAUUUAAAGCCUGCUGUUUGGGAUUCAGAGGGUCCUUCUGCACAUUUAGGAAAAUAAUUACAGCUCAUUCAUUCUUACACACAUAUCUUUAAACUCAUUGGCACCAUUUUAACUAUGUCCAUGGAAAUUUAACCCAUUAUUUUGUGUGUGUGUGUGUGUGUGUGUGAUAUUAGCAUGUGUACAAAGAUCAUUUUCCUAAUCCAUUCAACAGGUUUUGAUUCCUUACUAUGUCUGCUUAAUGGACCAACAGUUGAAAGUUACUCUGCCUAUAAUCAAAUCUCUAAAAUCAGAAUAUGUCUCCAAACUACCAAGAGAAUCAGGGUUUUAGCAAUUAGUAUAUAGGCUCAAUGAGUGGUAGGUGAUCAAACAAGAUUCUAAAAGCCUAUUGUUUUCUAAUGGAGAGAAAACUGAAAUUGAAGUUGAGAGAUCAACAUCCUGGCUGUGCCAAUGACUUUCUGCAUGAUUUUAAAUCAUUCCCACUUUCUAGCAUUCGGGUCUCUGGUCCAUAAAAUGAGAGUAGGGCCCAGCUCUGAACUAUCCAAUGCUGGCACAGAAUUUCCACUUUAACUCCAGUUACCUGUGCAGACAUCACUAAUCGAUCACAGCACUUUUAUCUUUUGUGUUCAACUGAGACUUAGGCUUAAAUUCCUCUCAACACAAUCCCCAUUCCAUCAGAU
rnacentral:lncRNA from 1 species